GGAGGGGUGGCCGAGUGGUUAAAGGCAGCAGACUGUAAAUCUGCCGGCGGAUGCCUACGUAGGUUCGAAUCCUACCCCCUCCACCA
rnacentral:tRNA from 1 species